CACGGGGGGAGCAAGCGUUGUUCGGAAUCACUGGGCGUAAAGGGCGUGUAGGCGGUCAAGUAAGUGGAAUGUGAAAUCCCUCGGCUCACCCGAGGACCUGCAUCCCAAACUGCUUGGCUUGAGUAUGGGAGAGGAUGAGGGAAUUCCUGGUGUAGCGGUGAAAUGCGUAGAUAUUAGGAGGAACACCGGUGGCGAAAGCGCUCAUCUGGCCCAAUACUGACGCUGAGGCGCGAAAGCUAGGGGAGCAAACGGG
rnacentral:rRNA from 1 species